rnacentral:lncRNA from 1 species
AUGGCCGAACCAUAGAGAGAGGAAGAGAGAGAGACUCCAAUUCUUCUUGAAAUUCUUGAAGACCCAAACUUCCCUUUCACCAAACUACUUAAACUUUUGAAAGAUCUUGAAGGAAAAGGCUCCUAGGAGUGGAUCUUGCCAUUUUCUUGGGUUAAUUUUGCUAAAGAUUGGAGCUUUGAAGAGGUAAGUGGCUAAUCUACUUCAUUCUUUUGCUUUUCAAGCAAUUUUGGACUAAAUCUUGGUAGAUCUAUGGUAUUUAUAGAAAACCCAUGGUGGGUUUGAAAGUUUUAAAAAAAUUUGGUACUCGGUGCUUUAAUGAUCUUGGUAUGCUUAUAUCUUGAUAUAUUUGGCUAGAAUUUGAUGGAUUCUUGUCUCUUGUGAUCCUAAAGUUAAUGAUUGAUGAAACCCAUGAGGAUUUGAGUGUGAUUUAUAGUGGAUUGUUGGUGAAAAUUGGAGUAUAUAUAUAUGCUAAAAUUUCUGUUUAGAUGGCCAAUUAUCAUGGACAAAUUUCAUCUUUACCUUGAAUUUGUGGCUUUUUUUGUACACUUGUACUGAAAUUUUUUUUAGGAAAUUUGAUGCUACUUGAAUCUAUGUAUGUUGGUUGGAUUAUGUUAAAAAAAUUUGUAAGAAAAUGAAGUGGUGAUGUGGGUUAUCUAGUUGGAAAAAGUAAAGUUGAAAAAGCUAGAAAAAUGGCCUAAGUUGGCCAAAUUUGUGAGCCAAAAACUCCAACUUUAAUUUUCUAUUUUAAAAACUGUUUUGGGUGAAAUUUAGUUCAAAAGAUUCUAUUGGACUUUGAUUUUGGUAUGUAUAAUGAUUUUGGAUCAAAAUUUUGAAGUUAAAAAGAGUGGAAAGUAAGAUUUCCUCCAAAAAUUAGUGGUUGACAACUUUAUGGAUUGAUUUGACUUUGGAUCCUUGUUUUAAUGAAGUUUUGGUUGGUCUAGUUCAAGAAACCUUAUUAAACUUUGAUCUUGGUUUGUGAAAUGAUUUUUGGGACAAAAACUACGAAAGUAAGUAAUUGAAAAAGUAGACUUUUGCUAUGAUUUGUUUGCUAGAAAACUUGUAGGAGUGAAAAGUCUUGUUCAAACUUUUGAAAUGUUUUUACCUUAAUGAAAAGUUGUAUUUUUACCUGAAUUGCCGAUUUGAAAACCUGAAUGGGUUGAAGUGUUUAGGACACUAAAGUCGAUUAAUUUGAAAACAAAGUUUUCGUACUUAAGUGAAUUGAUUUGGUGAAUACUAAGGGUUCACUUAUAUGUUGUAAUUGUUUGCUAGGGCUACAAUCUGAACUUGCAGGCGAUCCUUCUGUAGAUGGUUAAGUGCUAUUUGGUGAGUGUUCUAAGUGCAUGGUAGCACUAUACAAAUGCUUGAUAUGUUAAUGAGCUUGAGAAAAUGAUAUGAUUAUAAACUGUCAUUCUUUUGAACUUGUUUAUGAACGAGCAAGUGUAUACAUUACCACACUCGACCCUAUUGAAUUGUUAUUGCUAUAAGUGAAUGUGAUAUGAUAUUAAUGAUAUGUGGGGGCCCAAAACUCAAUGGCUAGUUAUUCGAGAUUGAGCCGGCAAUGGCUUGGUCAACUCGAUUAGCGAACCUUGGGUAGUGUAUCUAUGUUGGAUCCAUACUAUUCUGGGUAUAUUUGAGUAAUACCAAUCAUUGAAAUUUUGUUAGUGUGCGGGCCCGGUAGGGGGUGAAAGGUGGACGAAGUGGUGUGACGUGGUGAUUCUACAUGACAUGAAAGUUGACGGAGUGUCAACUACUUGAAUUACUGAUUGAUAAAGUAUUUGCUAGUACUCAGUAUACUUAAUGAUUGACAUAUCGAUUUUAAUGAUGUGCUUAUAUGAUACCUUUUGUUUAUGUUUCUUGUUGACUUAAAAUGUGAAAUUAUUGCUUUCUUAAAUUGCAUGUCUUUCUUAGACCUCACGUGGUGCAAACUCAUACCUUUUCUUUUGUUUUUCUUAGCAGGGUAGGUUCGUGAUUCAGGGAAUUAGCACUUAGCUUUUAUUUUAGUUAGACUAAGUGAUUAGGGUACUACAUUAUUUUGAAUGUGAAUUGUAAGCUUAAACCCUCUUUUGUAUUUUAAGUUAUUUCGAUAGACAACUGUAUGUAUUAGUUGUAUUUAGCGCGUAUUUUGUGGUAAAAUUGGAUAUUGGGCUUGGCUUUGUGGUU